rnacentral:lncRNA from 1 species
GGCCGCUUGCGCAGGCGCAGUUCUGACGACUGCCGUUCAGCACCUGCGUAAGCACCUCUCGGCCAGGUCAGUCCUGUAUACAGCACUAAAGCUGAUGAAUGAUCUAUCUUACACUAGCCAAAGUGAAGUCUGAAAGAUGUGAAGAAAUGCAGUACAUUUGUACAUUGGCACAUUGCCCUGCAGAGGACUGGCAACACUCCAGAAAUGAUGGAGACAGGAUACAUCAACCUGUAUCACUGAAGAUGAUGUGGAGCAGAGCCUUUGUGGUCCUAAGAAACAUGUAUAAGAUAAAAACUUUUGUGGUUUUUCAAUCAUUUGAGGUUUUAGGAUUGUUCAUUGUAUCAACACAACUUGCCUAUUCUGACUGCUAAGGUUGUUCACUGGGUUAUUCAUAAAGGCAAAAUGAGGUUGUGAGCCACAGAAAGAGAGGACAGGAUGGUUCCAUGGUGUCCCCAGCUUAUUUUUUAUUGUUUCCUGUUUAUUGAUCUCAUCCAUUGGAGAACUCCAUGAAAGCACAUAUCUAUGCCACACUCACCACUGUAUUAUAGAACUCAAAUGUCGGUUGCAUGAAUAAAAUAUGUAACAGGAAGGCCACUAUACCUGGCCCUGACCAAUUACAAAUUUAGUUUUUCAUGAGGUUUUUUAAAGGGCAUCCAGCACACCACAGAACCCUGUGCACAACAAACUACCCCCAAAGUUAGCGGCUUAAAACACUUUCUCCCAAUUCUGAAUUCCGCUGGGUCGUUCUGCUUAGUGUAGUAUCUACUAAGUCUGGGACAUCCCAGAUAAUUUCUUCAUGCAUGUCUGGUGCUCAGUUGGCAUGUCUGAAAAAGCUGGGUUUGGCCAGACAUCUUUCUGUCCACCUAGUUUCUCCAGCAGAGUAACCAGACCUCUCUACACAGUAGCUUAGGGUGCCAAGAGCAAAUGUUCCAAGAGGGCAAGCCCUGAUGUGCAAAUCCUUAAGCCUCUGCUUGACAAAUGUCCUCUGGGCCAAAUCACAUCGGCCCAGAGUCAGUGUGGGAGAGGACUAACUACACAAGAGUGCAAAUACCAGGUAUGGUUCAUGGGGGCCCCCAGUGUUAACAGUCUACCCAAUCUGGUGAUCAUAAGGCAGACAACUGAAGUCAUGAUGCUUCGUUUUACAAAUAAAAAAGCAAAGGCUCAGAAAUGAAAUCACUUGCCCAGGAUAACACAUGUUGUAAAUGGAAAACAAAUAUUUGUUUACUGGUAAUAAGUCAAAGGCUAGUUAAGCCUUUCACUAUAUCUCAUUGCCCCUAAUCUUUAAACUCCACUUUCCUUUUCCUUAUUCUUAGCCAACUGUGAAUAUCUGUGUUCAAGAAGUUAACAAUGUAGAUAAUCCAAAAUGAAGUGUGUUUUGUAGCAUUAUCUGAGCAGUAGAUAUUAGAUGACUAAUGUAGUAUGCUCUGGAAACUCGUAACAGUUCAAAGGAAAUAAAGCCAUUUUAUAAUGAAACCACUUUAAAAAUCCUCCACUGUUUUCAUCUUCACGAGAAUGACAAAGCACCAACUUAAAGUAAACCAACUCUUUCCCCUUCUCUGAGCUUGCUGUAUUUCCUAAGAAGGAAGGAAAAAGUCAAACAAGAAUUAAGUCACUAGGAACUUGAUGAAAGUUCUACCACAGUAUAUGUACCCAAAUUUACAGUAUCAAAUGGUUUCCAAUAUCAGUUGAGACCCGAGGCAUUUAA